rnacentral:rRNA from 1 species
CGUAGUGACGCGGAGGGACAUUA